AUCCAGCUGACGAGUCCCAAAUAGGACGAAACACCCAUUCUGAAU
rnacentral:hammerhead_ribozyme from 1 species